UUAGAUGAAUUAGUUGAUUCAAGCAGUUGGCAAGAUACGGGCAUUGAGCCCGUAGUGAGCCCAUGUUAAAGUUACUCCCUAUUCAUCAGAACAUCAGCCUGAUAACUACCUAUUUCCUUCAAGACAAGUUUGAUCUUUACAUCCUUGCGAGAUGCGUUUUUCUGUCACUACUAAUCUAUAUCAUAAAAUGACAUGUCGCAAGGUUCUGGGUUGGGUUAUUGAAAGGACCUUGGUUGAUUUCAGAGGUCAGCUUCCUUUGGCAUCAGUGUUCUUUUUCUAUAUUUUAAAAUUUACGUUGGCCAAAAUUCUUUCUUCCCUUCCUGACGCUGUGCAUCAUUCCACAAGUAGAUCCCUGUCUCCACUUUAAAGGAGCACCUCCGUUGCUUUGGAAUGCACUUGGUGUAUUCCUUAGGUCCUCCCUGACCUGGAUGUCAUGUAAUGACAGCUGAAGAAAUGCCUGGCCUUGCAAUCAGAUGCUUCACUCGGGCACCCAUCCACAUGAACAGAGGCACCACGAGAAAAACAAAGGAGAAUAUUGUGAAGGAGAACACCUAUCCACAGCUAAAGAGCAGUGUUGCAGAACACAGCAGAUGCAAUCAGUGGAGGUAGCAGCCUGCCAGCAGAGAGAGAUUCUGGCUGCUGCUGUGCGAAGGGGCUGGGCAGAGCGGCAGCUGAUGGAAGGUAUUAAGGAAGAGCAAAGUCCUUCAGGAAGAGCGCAGUGAGGACGCAGCUGGAAAAAACAAGCAGAACACAAAGAAAGAAGAAUUGACAUCUAAGGAAGCUGGUGUAUCAUAAGGUCUUUUCCUUCCACUGGGACAUUCACACAGUUAAAUACUGGGUUAUUAGUGCAGCAAGUCCAGCUUGAGUUGCAUGUUUGUUUUACUCGCUGUGAUAACUGUGUUUGGUAACAGCGGCCAGGAGAGCAAAAGGAAAUGUAUGUAACAACCUCUGUAAUGAGCACUGUGCCCCAAGCUGGAUAUUCUUUACUAAUGGAUUUAGAGAUCUGUUAGCAUGCACAAAUCAGGGAAGAGCUGGUUGUCCUGUGACUCAGACUUCACCUUUGCAGACAGGGAUUUCCAGGUUUGCACAGAGUCUAAAUGGUACUCGGCAGUUUCCAUCAGAUUCCUUUGACAAGGAAGGUACCUCGGUGCUGGAGCUGGAGCAGAGUGUGGGGAGUUAAAGCAAGGUUUGUGAGCAGCAAGACUUCGGCUGCCAAAUUAAGAGUGAGAAGAGAAUUUCUGAGCAGCUUAUGAAAAUUGACCUCUGGUCCUGCUAUGUUCUGCAGGACCACUGUACCAGCUAUUUCCAGUUGAAAGCAAGUAUCAUUUAUGCCCACUGUAGCAUUGAUUGCGUUCACUUCAGGAGAAGUUCAGUUUCCUGGAUUGCAUCGUAACCAGUGAUGGGAUGUGAUGUCACUACUACAAGCUAGAGUCAAAAUGGCAGAAUGGUGAGAUGUGAGUUCCCCAUCAAAGAAAAAGUUGAAGACACAGCCCUCGGCAGGUGAAGUGAUGUGCACUGUCUUUUGGGAUAGGAAAGGGGGGACCCUUUGGGAUUCCCUGGAGCCCAGAUAAACCAUCAGCUCUGACCACUACAUCAUGACAGGGCCUAAGCUGAAGGCCCAAACUUCCAGAGUCAGGCCAGAGAAGACAACCUUUCUCUUGCAACACAACACCAGGCCGCAUGCCAGUUUGAAGACCGUGAAGCACAAUGCCAAUCUCAGCUGGACCGUCCUAUCACAUCCACCAUAUAGUCCAGAUUUGGCACCUUCUGAUGGAUUAACUCUGUGCAGUAAGUUUGGCCUCGGGUCCUUCACAUCUGCCAAGGAAUUUGGAGUUUAUCCUAUCCACAGCCUUAGUAAUAAAGUCCACUGUGUUCAGUGUGCUUUCUUUGAAAAUUAUAACUGUGUAAGAGAAGCAGGUGAGUUAUGGACCUACUGAUGGUAUAAUUUUUAAUUUUCAGUUAUUUUCAGCAGAGAGUUGGUAGAGCACAGUAUUUCUGCAAUUAAUUUACUAUGUUGUGAAUACUAGUGCAGAAACAAGGCAGGGUGUGCAGGGAAAAUUAAAACUGUUGUGUUAAAAAAUCCUAGAAAAAUUCUUGUCCUGUCGUAGUAAAGCGAAGCUGAACGGCUUAUGAAUCCUAUGGGGAAACUCAGAAACCCUUACCCAGUGUCCUACAAAACCUUCCUGCUUUCCCUCUCCUGUU
ensembl:lncRNA